UGUGUGGUGACCGCGGACGAUCUGGGCUACAAUGGUCAGGUCGCAAGACGAUGGCGCUGAAACUCAACGCGGACUGCGGGCAGACCCGGGGGCAGUACCCGGCGCCUCCACCCGAGCAGCUGACAAUGCGAGAUCUCGUUUUUACGAGUUCUCAUUCCGUGCGACGGACUUUGUCGAGCUGCUCCGGCGGGGGCGAAACAGGAUCGAUGGCCGCGAAGAAGUGUUGAAUUGUUCCCGGCAUGAUACCGCCGUUAUCGGGUCAAAACCUAAAUGCAAACGAUAACGUUCGCAUGAACGAAGUGCGCCUCGCGGCGUAACCGUUCGGGGUAGGUCCACCUAGCAACAGAACGGCCAUG
rnacentral:tmRNA from 19 species